rnacentral:tRNA from 1 species
GCCGACGUACCCCAACUGGCCAGAGGGCCGGCGCUUAGAACGCCGUCAGUGCGGGUUCGAAUCCCGCCGUCGGCA